CUACGUGCCAGCAGCCGCGGUAAUACGGAAGGUCCAGGCGUUAUCCGGAUUUAUUGGGUUUAAAGGGAGUGUAGGCGGUCUGUUAAGCGUGUUGUGAAAUUUAGGUGCUCAACAUUUAACUUGCAGCGCGAACUGGCGGACUUGAGUGCACGCAACGUAUGCGGAAUUCAUGGUGUAGCGGUGAAAUGCUUAGAUAUCAUGACGAACUCCGAUUGCGAAGGCAGCGUACGGGAGUGUUACUGACGCUUAAGCUCGAAGGUGCGGGUAUCGAACAGGAUUAGAUACCCUGGUAGUCCGCACGGUAAACGAUGGAUGCCCGCUGUUAGCGCCUGGCGUUAGCGGCUAAGCGAAAGCAUUGAGCAUCCCACCUGGGGAGUACGCCGGCAACGGUGAAACUCAAAGGAAUUGACGGGGGCCCGCACAAGCGGAGGAACAUGUGGUUUAAUUCGAUGAUACGCGAGGAACYUUACCCGGGCUUGAA
rnacentral:rRNA from 1 species